AUACGGAGGACGCGAGCGUUAUCCGGAUUCAUUGGGUUUAAAGGGUGCGCAGGCGGCCCUGCAAGUCAGCGGUGUAAGCCCGGGGCUCAACCCCGGAAGUGCCGUUGAUACUGCGUGGCUGGAAUGCGGUCGAGGCGGGCGGAACGUGGCGUGUAGCGGUGAAAUGCGUAAAUAUGCCACGGAACGCCGAUAGCGGAGGCAGCUCGCCAGGCCUGCAUUGACGCUCGGGCACGAAAGCGUGGGGAUCGAACAGGAUUAGAUACCCUGGUAGUCCACGCCGUAAACGAUGGGCGCUCGUCGUCGGCGACAGACAGUCGGCGGCCAAGCGAAAGCGAUAAGCGCCCCACCUGGGGAGUACGGUCGCAAGGCUGAAACUCAAAUGAAUUGACGGGG
rnacentral:rRNA from 1 species